UAUUAUACUUGUGAAUCUAGGAUUGUGAUUUCAGCAAACCUCAACAAAGAAACCAUCAUCUACAACCAUUCCUGAAAUUUAAAAGCAGCAAAACAUCUGUUCCCCCAAGCAACUUACCUGUAAGUGCUAUGAACCAACUUGUGUCCCCCCAAAUUCACAUCAAAGUCCUAACCCUGGAUGUGAUGGUACUCGAGGAUGGAGCCUUUGGGAGUAGUUCAUUUACAUGAGGUUACAAGGGUAGGGUGCCCAUGAUGGGAUUAGUGUCCUUAUAAGAGACAACAGAGCUUGCUUCUUCUCUCUCCACUAUGAGGACACAGUGAGAAGACGGCCAUCUACAAGCCACAAAGAGUCCUUACUGGGAACUGAGCAGGACCAGCACCUUGAUGCGAGGACUUCCUGUCCUCCAGAACUUUGAGAAAUAAAUCUCUGUUGGCUAAGCCACCCAAUCUGUGAUGUUUUGUUAUGGCAGCCCAAGCUAAUACAGGAAAACUUCCAUAGCACUUCAUGUGGCUUUACAAAUGUCAUCCCUGUUUACUGGCUGCACGUCAUAUAAAAGUGAUCCCCAAUAUAAAAAAGUGAUCUGCACUCUCA